rnacentral:misc_RNA from 1 species
CUUGAUUUGUAAUUACUUCAGGGACAUUGAAUAUAUAUAUAUUGCCAAUUUAACUUCACAAUAUAGCAUUAACGAGUGCUGCCAGCAAAAGUAGGAAACAGCACUGGAACAACCAAAUUAGACCAAUAAAAUCAAUGAGGUACCCCAAGUUCACUGGACUGGAUCCGAAAUUCCAUCUUCUUCCAGGAACUUUAUAUAAAUAUUGUUUGAACUGCCUUUUAUCAGUGACAAACUUGGCUUCAGUUACUUACCACAUGAAGCAUCGAUUGCAGGG